rnacentral:lncRNA from 1 species
UUUCGGUGUGGCUAAAACCCCAGAAAACAUCGCGAGACACGUCAUUUUGGGGAAAACCCGAGACACGAGUCGAGCUCGCGUUUUCUGUCGACGCCGCCGACGCGUUGCCCGCCUCUGCGCCACCGACGCCUGACUCCGCGUCGCCGUUCCCUGCCUUCGCCCGCCUCCGCGCCGCCGUCGCCUGCCUGCACGUCCUCUCCGAACGCCUCCACGCUGUCGACCUCCUCCCCUCCGUGCGAACGUCGACCUCCUCCCUUCCGUGCAGGUCGAACUCCUCCAUCUCCGCUGCGGGGCUUAGCGGCCGCGACCUCGCCGCCGCCAUUACGCCUCCCCUCUCCCCUCUCUGUCUUCGACCCUACUCCGCGUUGCUGUUGACCUCGUAUGUCUAACCCAAUAAAGCAGAGCAGAGGACGACGUUGUUGAUGACUUUUCCGGCCGGAUACAGGCUGGCUUUCUCACCGGUUAGUCCCCUUUCUCAUUUCUCUCCCCAGCAGCAGGUCAAUUUUGGAAUCAUCGAAGUUUCUUGUUGUUCUGGUAGAGGUUUGGUAGAACUUGAUAAGUUGGGGAAAUGUGUGUAUUGAGCUGUUGUGUGGAUAAUUUGACUGUGUAUGAACUCCACUUUGACUGUGUUGACAGAUAUGCAAUUUCUUCUGUAAAGUUGCAAUGCCAAUACGAGCAUGUUGUUCAUUGGGCUUUCGAAACUGGU